CACUCGCACACAUUUGAUCUAACCCGGGAAGACCAGACUAGCCUGUGAACUGUCGUUACUCAUGGAACUAGGUUAACUCCACGAUGUUAACAGGGAGAAAGAGGAGAGCCGAUAUCUGGACACAUUUCUCAUUUAACGUCAUGAAAAACAAGAUGAUGUGUAAACCAUGUGGGGCGACGAUCUCGGAUGAGGCUCUACAGUACAAACACAGCAGCUUCUUGUUCUUCUUAUGAUGUUUAAUGGCGGUUGGCAGAACAACUUAAGACGCACCAGCGCCACCAACUGGACUGGAGUUGAACAGCAGCUUAGCAGUAAAACAUCUCCAUUAGCCCUGUAUCUCUCACCUACAGUGUUGGGGGGAACGCGGUACAGUCACGUGAUUACUUUUUAUCUGUAACGAAGUCAUGUAACGCGUUACAGUUACAUAUUUGUAAUGACAUUACAGUUACUGUGAUGAGAGAUGAGUCGUUCCCGAACGAACCGAUUCUAUUGAACGACUCUUUAAAAUGAACUAAAGGAACCGAGUCGCUCCUCUAGUAUAAGGACAAAUAAUUAAGGAAUAAACUUGUUUAUGUUAAAUCUGA